AGCAUUGUCUGAACACAGUGGUCAAAUGCUAUCAAGUGAAUGAGAAAUCAUCACUCAGUUCAACAUUUAUUGAACACCACAAUGCUAGAAUCUAGGAAUUCAACUGUGAAUAAGGAAGUUAUGGUGUACUCUCUGUAAACUUCUCAUAAAUAAUGUCUAAAAUACAACAACAUUCCUAUUGAUGUAUAUUGCUUGCUUCCAAAGACUAUGACGCCUGUAUCCUCACACGUACAUCACCUUUAUUUUUCCUAUUCAGGAGUGGCCACAGGUACCAAAGGAUGGCACAUCAUACCAGGAAUUUGUUGAUCUAGUGCAGUGGAACUGCAAGGCAGAGUUCAGCGGUAUCGGGAUCAAAGGAUUAGGAAGCCGCAGCUUUAAGGGAGGCAAGCAGCAUGAGAAGACUUUGUGGAGGCAGCUCUGAGCAUUUUAUAAGAAUAAAUUGAGGCCCUGCAAGGAUUAAGGAAUCUGUACAAAGUCACACGCAGGCUGAACUAUGAAAAGCAACUAGAGGACAUUCUCCCCCUUGAAGAUAAUCACUUUUAUUGUUGCCGGGUCAAAGAUUCAGAUUCCACGCAGCAACCUCUGACUAAAGAACAGCAAGUCCUUUCAGAUUUCUUCUUUCGGUGGAUCGUGUAAAUUAGUGAGUUGCUUUCACGUCUUUUGGCCAGCUUCAGAGAAGAAUGAAGUACCCAAUGCUUGGUGAGAGGCAGUCCAUGUUCCGGAUGUAAAGCACUUCUCACUAUAUUAAUUGUCCGCUGGCUUAAUUUUUUCAUAUUCUGUCGAAUGCACUUUGCCUGCGUGUACGAAGGCAGCUUCCUCAUCAGAUGUGAGUUGGGAGCAUCCACAUGUACUCCACUGAUGCUCCCCAAACUUCCAAGAUAAAAAUUUCCACAAGGGGAAGAUAGCAGUCAAAUGUGAGAAGAAUAAUUUGCAAAUAGAUAAAUACGCAAAUAAAUAAAACUGUUCAUGGAGUUGUCUACUGGAAAACGAUGUGCCAAGGGCACAAUGAGCGAAAGUGAAGCUUGACAAUGAGUUAGGUCGCCAGAUGUGGCGCGGUGAUUUGGGGGGGCCCAGGGGAGCACCCAUGAGGAGAAAGGCUGGGUGUAAAUCAGUCAUAGCAACGCUCCACUGCACCUGGGGGGCCCUGAGGAAAUACGUUAGUGGUGAAUCAAGAGCCAGGCUCCAAGGCCCUGAGGCCAGUGUGCUGGGAGAGGGGCGUGUCAGAGGCACAUGGGAGAGGUGGGCCUGAAGACAGAGAGAAGCUCUAAGUCAAGCAAAGACCCAGGUUUCUAGAAGUGGUCAUGCAAAUAGCUGAGGUUCGCAGAUUCUAUUAUUUAAUAAUUAAAUGUAAAGAAGCAUUUAGCUUACGUCAACUAUUUUAGUUAGGAGAGCAAUAGUCACAAAGCAGCAGUUGUGAAAUUUAUAUGGAUUGGAAAAGGGUGUGAUAGACACGGGGUGGAAGAGUUUCCAUUUGUUUUGUUUUAAGCCACGGUCAAUGUGGGCUUUCAAAGUCAGAUGCCGAAGGAGGAAUUAAAUUAUCCAGUGAGUAUUAGAGAGUUAUUCUCAAACCGUAUUUUACUGUAAGAUGGGGUUAUUUUAAAUUCAGAAAAGCUAAUGAGCAUAAAGAAGACUGCAAAUCUUCUGGGACCAUGUGUCAGCUGAUCCACAGCUGCUGCAACCGAAAAGUCACAAAGCUUGCUGGGAAAUGGAGAACAAUGCAGACUCAGUUGUCAUGAAUAUCUUAUGUGAAGUUACUUUUUAGAGAAAUCUCCAAAUGCAAUCUCUAUAGGCAAACAUAUACAUUUGUAUAUAGAAAGAGUAAAGCUGUAAUCUUCAUUGAACACAGAGAUUUGUUUCUUUUGGGUUUUUUUAAAUUUGCAUUUCAUUGUUUUUCAUGAAAAUGAAUUUAAUGCUUGAAUUCUGUACAAGCAUCACAGGAAAAGGCUAUCAGGAAUCUGCAAGAGCCAUACAAGGUGUCCCUUAGAUAAAUAAUGGUCAGGAAAGGAAAUGUGUGAAUGAAAAGACCACGAUGUGCUGACUACGUUGAGGCACUGAGCAGAACAGACAGUGGGAGGCAACGACUGAGACAACCUGAGUUGAAAAAUAGUGUCUGGAAGACGCAGGG
rnacentral:lncRNA from 1 species